CCCUUAGAUGUCCGGGGCUGCACGCGCGCCACACUGAGUGGAUCAGCGUGUGUCUACCCUUCGCCGAGAGGCGUGGGUAACCCGCUGAACCCCACUCGUGAUAGGGAUUGGGGAUUGCAAUUAUUUCCCAUGAACGAGGAAUUCCCAGUAAGCGCGGGUCAUAAGCUCGCGUUGAUUACGUCCCUGCCCUUUGUACACACCGCCCGUCGCUACUACCGAUUGAAUGGUUUAGUGAGGACUCCUGAUUGGCGCCGCCGCCCCGGCAACGGAGCAGCGGACUGCCGAAAAGUUGUUCAAACUUGAUCAUUUAGAGGAAGUAAAAGUCGUAACA
rnacentral:rRNA from 1 species